CGGACCGACGGGAGCUUGCUCCCUUAGGUCAGCGGCGGACGGGUGAGUAACACGUGGGUAACCUGCCUGUAAGACUGGGAUAACUCCGGGAAACCGGGGCUAAUACCGGAUGCUUGAUUGAACCGCAUGGUUCAAUCAUAAAAGGUGGCUUUUAGCUACCACUUACAGAUGGACCCGCGGCGCAUUAGCUAGUUGGUGAGGUAACGGCUCACCAAGGCGACGAUGCGUAGCCGACCUGAGAGGGUGAUCGGCCACACUGGGACUGAGACACGGCCCAGACUCCUACGGGAGGCAGCAGUAGGGAAUCUUCCGCAAUGGACGAAAGUCUGACGGAGCAACGCCGCGUGAGUGAUGAAGGUUUUCGGAUCGUAAAACUCUGUUGUUAGGGAAGAACAAGUACCGUUCGAAUAGGGCGGCACCUUGACGGUACCUAACCAGAAAGCCACGGCUAACUACGUGCCAGCAGCCGCGGUAAUACGUAGGUGGCAAGCGUUGUCCGGAAUUAUUGGGCGUAAAGCGCGCGCAGGCGGUUUCUUAAGUCUGAUGUGAAAGCCCCCGGCUCAACCGGGGAGGGUCAUUGGAAACUGGGGAACUUGAGUGCAGAACACGAGAGUGGAAUUCCACGUGUAGCGGUGAAAUGCGUAGAGAUGUGGAGGAACACCAGUGGCGAAAGCGACUCUCUG
rnacentral:rRNA from 1 species